AACACCCGACGACCCAACCACAUUUGAAUUAAGUACAUAUGCAUGUUAUAGUUCAAGAGGCUAGCCCAGGAUAGAGAAAAGUGGACGUGUUUGUCCGUGGCCUAUACCCUGGUGCAGGGUGAGAAAGGCAAUGAUGAUGAUGAUGUUAUAGUUAGUAGUUAGCACAAUUGCCAAUGAGGUCAUAAUAGACGAUAAAAUUAUAUCACAACCCUUUGAUCAUAUUAAUUAAGCACAGACAGACGUAUGCCUGUAAGCCUAAUUAUUAUUAAUGAUAAUAGGUGAAAAGUUGUUUACGAAUAUAAAAUUAAAACAUAAACAGAAACAAAACUGCUUAAACUAGAUUCAACGCAAUUCAAGGUAUGGAAAAGCAAAGUUCAAAGACCAAAGUUCGAAGAUUUGCUGAGCGACUGAGUGACUGAAGUGACCCUUGAAACUUGAGAGAGAGUGAAAAGUAAAGGGAAACAGAGAGCGAACACCGAACGGUUUUAUCUUGCAGAUUACAGUACUGCAGAUGUGUUGUUCAUGUCCCCUAACAGCGUUUUGUGGACAUUACAAGUAUGAACGUACCGCAGCUGAAUAAGCCAGUGAGAGAGAUCAAUGGCUUGUCUCUUCACUACGUAGACAGUGUGGCUGUCAUCAUGAUGAACAGGGGGGAGAACAGACUGAACAUUGCCCUCAUGGAUGAUCUCAGCUCACUGCUGGAUGAUGCAGUCAGAAACGAGUCCUGCACUGGUGUAAUUACCACUGGAGGGGGAAAGUUUUUUUCUAAUGGGUUAGACCUGGAGUUUAUGAAAUCUUCCUCCCCAGAGGAUGGCAAGAGGUUCUUUCAGAAGCUUUUUCAACUCCUAAAGAAGAUCCUUAUCUUCCCAGUUCCCACAGUGGCAGCCAUUAAUGGUAAACAGACACUCUAUAAUUUUUUUUGCUGUUUUUUUUGGUUUGUUUUGUAAAUCUCCUGAAUGCAGGGUAAUUCUAAUUCUGUUGUGUUCUUGAUGGGCUCAGUUUGAAGAUUCUCUUUGUGAGUUGUUUUUGACUGAUAUAUAUGUAUAUAUAAUACACAUAUAUGUACACAAACACCUGUCGUUCUUGUGCUAGUUACUCUCUUAUAUUAUAACACCUCUCACCUUCGAAUUGUGUUGCAAGGGCCGUAAAACUCUCAGUUAAGAUAUAGGCCAUAUAUCUGCUGUGUGUAUGGUUUUUUUUUUGCUGUUUAGAUGCUCUGUAACAGUUGUGGAAAAAUUAAAUCUCAUAAUUUUUUUGGUAUUCUUCCAUACUAAUUUUUCAAAAUUGAACUAAUAUAUUCAAAUUGUAUUGGCUAUCUAAUUAAAGGUAAAUUAACCUACC